AUUAAAAGGUUGAGCUCAGACCACAAACACUACUUUCUGUUCACCUACUGCCCCUGCAACAGGGCCUUCCCCUGAUCUGAGCUAAUCCCACAGGCUAAUCUUGCCACUAGCUUGAGAGCCACAGGAAUCAUUCUACUCUCCCUCAAUGGGAGGAAUAGUCCCAGUGUUCUAACCCAGCUGCAGUCCCAAAACGGGAUACAUGUGAUAGGACCAUGUGCACCACUACGAUGGUCCUCACCACUAUUGCUGUCAUCCUAUACAGAAAGUUCUCAAACCGAGUCGAACCGCACAAUGUUGAUGAUGCCAAUGAGGUGCCCUACAUGAAGAGCAAUGGAGUCGACCCUAAGAAAUAACAACGCUCACAGCAGAUGUAGCUCUAGUCUACAGUCUACAUGGUACAUAAAAGUAGAAUAACAAGUAGCCUACAGAAGUGAAUGCUGUCUGAUAUUUCAAGAUGUGGAAAGGAAUGCAAGAGGAGGGGAAGAGAGAGGUAGGGAAAAUGGAACAUGUGGCAGAAGUAGAGAUGCAUGAAGUGAGAAGAUGUAUGCCCGUUCCACAUUUAGCUUUCAAGUACUCACCACUAUGCUGCUCCCACUAAAUGAUUUAGUGGCAGAACAACAAUCCAUCAGCUCUGUGGAAGGUUAUUAUAAAUGCAUUACCUCCCCAAGCCUACCAGUUCAAUGGAGUCGUGCAGGGCCUCAUAAAUAUGGGUCAAUAAAGGGACACACACAAAAGACUCGGGAUGAAUGAAAUAGGCUUUAUUGUUUUAGUGUGAACUUUCACCCUACCUGUGCGUAGAAGCUCUCAGAUCUGAGGCGGGUCUUUUCAAAUGAAGAGACGUGAGUUUAUUAAUUUAUUCAUAGCAUGAUAUCUCCCUAAAUUAUUAAUGUCCCCCCGCAUGUAAGCUUUUAUGCGCCCUCUUUUCUCUAUUUUCUUCCAGACACGAACUGAAGACAGGUCUUCACCUUGAUGGCUACACAUCUGUUUGACAGGCAAACAUCCUAUAACCUAAACCCCAAAAUGGAUAUGUUACAGACAACAGCAGCAGCUCCAUCUCAGUCAUCUGGAAUUGAUGCAGCUGGCUCCAUUGUCUCUCCAGUGUUCAGAGACUGUGCAUUGCCAUGUGAAAAGCAACUGGAAUUUAUCACAUCUUCAAUCCCCCAUCUGUCCCUCUAAUGUUAGAGGAGUCCCAGGAAGCCUCCCUCCUCCUUCUUGAGGCAGGAGAAUUCAAUUUCUGGGAAUGAAACCUCAACCAAUAACAUCUUGGUGGAGGUGAAUCUACAGUCCAACAUCUUGGUUUAUUGUGGGUUUCUUGUUUUGUACAGUUGGACGUUUUCUUAAGGCUUAAAGUAGGCCAAUGGUCAAUGUAAAACUGUUGGAAAGUGUUCCGUGCCUCAACAAACAGUUGUUGUUUUUUUAUUGUCAUUUUUUGUCUUUGAGCAAAUAGGGCUGUACAGAUUUGUGUCCAUUGAGUAAAUUAUAAUGGCUUUUAAAGAAGAGGCAGAACUUUAAAAUUAUGCACUUUAAAUGGUAGGAUGUUUUUGGUAAUCUUUCACAUUCCUAAAGUGACCUAAAUCUUGUUUUGACUGAAACAAGGAGCUUUGGAUAAGCAAUAUAUUUCAAAUGAAUCGCUUGAACCCAUAAAUAUUUGACCAAAUGUCAGAGAACAUAAAUGUCUUGUCGUGAAGAUGUGUGUGCCAUGGCUACUCAAUCUAAAGAGCAAUGGAGAGAGGCAUCAGUUUUGUACCUCUCUGUCAACCCUCUCCAGUCACAAUGCAUUGCUAUGUGAUGAAAGAAAGCAUGCAAUGAAUCACCUCUUCCCCUACACCUUUAGCAUCCCGUUGGCCCAUUAAAGGAGCAACAGUCAGAAAGAGGUGUGUUACUAGUCUGCCUGUGUUCAAAACACAGCUCCAACUUUACUUGACAUUCUUAGAAGCAGCUAGGUGUCACCUUAGUAAACGUCUGCCUUGAGUCAGAGCUUGGUGAUGAUGGUGGUUACUGGUAGGACGGUUUGUUACAGAAUCGACUUUUCUUUGACAUGUCAUCUUACAACCUGCUUCUUCUCUCUAAAGCAAAAAUGGUGUAUGUUCUUUGCUCUCCCCACCUGAUCAAAUAAAGAGAUUGGAAAAAUGUA